AUGCCAAGCCACAAAUUCGCCUACCCCGAGAGCGUUCUCCACGCCUGGAUCAACGACGUUCGCCAGGCGGUCACCGUCGAUUCGAUUCACAAGUUGUUCCGUCGCUCUGGUGACGGGUAUGUGAUUUGCGCUUACGAGCGGGUGGUGGACGGGAUGUACGGCGUGGAGGCGUACGUCGAGUUUCGGUCUCGAUGGAGGGUGGCCCGAGCUCGAGAUGCCCUGGAUGGCCAUGCUAUCUACGAUGGCUGCUGCAUCCUUGCCGUCGACCUCGUCCCGCCGGUCUACACCACCAUCACCAUGCCGGAUGACGACGGGAUGGCGCCUUCGUACUUCUACGACGACACUCCCUACGCGGAGUGGGCUGCAGCAUUGGCCACGGGCGAGCGCCAUGAUGAGGCGCCUGCUACAUCCACCGACGACCUCCAACUCAAGGCGUCCAUGGGCGCCAUCAGCUCAACUCCGUCCGAGCUCGCCGCGCCUACAGCACCAACUUCGUCCACAACCGUCAACAACGCCCUCCUGGAGCUCAGUGUGAGUGACAAGGUGCUCGAAGUCGACGCCACUACGAUGCCCACCACCUGUUCGACAGGGUGCCCAAGUUGCAACAAGCCCGAGGAGUCGGCACUCACCUCGUUCAGAUCACUACCUUCAUCCAUGAUCGUCGACAACGUUGCCCAUGAGCCUGGACUCGACCUGGACUUAGUGGCCUUGGUACCUGUGCCUGCUAAAUUGGACAGCGUUGGCAUUGCCAUGGACAUGCAGCAGAAUAACUACGAGGAUGGCAAUCCUGUACAACACAAGGACGUUCCCUCAGUACAACUUGCCACAUCAGUUUGUGAGUGCCCUCCACCUAGCGCUUGGAAAUUCCUUCCGUGCAAAUUUCACAAGGUUGCUGCUCCAUUAGUUUGCCCGCCUCUAUUGCAAUGGAAUGAGAACCGUGUGUGGCCACCUCCCUUUCCUCCUGAUGCAAUGACACUGCGUCUGCACUUGUUAUCAUCUGCUAGUUUUGAGUUAUGCCGAUUUUGGUCGCCACCUGAUCAGUUGUAUGAGCAGAAACACACAUGCAGAUUACUGGGUAUGAGUAGUUGUUUUUUUGUUUGA
rnacentral:rRNA from 1 species